rnacentral:tRNA from 1 species
AGUUAAUGAACUUGUAUAAGUUUAUAUUUUGAAAAUAUAAUAAAGGGAUUAAGAUUCCCUAUUAACUU